GGAACUCUCUCCAGUUUUAAUCGAGAGUGUGUGCAUUGUGGAUUAUUUCAGACCUGAAGGCUUCUUCUUCUGGGAAGGAGAGAUCCUGCACACUGAGCUUGUUAGAGGACACAGCUGCCACAAUGCAGUCCCUGAGCUAGGGGGAUCAUGAGGACCACCUGGACACUCAACAGUCUGCAGCCUCACCUGCGUGAGAGGUCAUUCUGAACAGCAGGUUCUUACAUCAUUAAGAGGGAGGAAUGAUGCAAGGGAGAAAAAAAUAGACCAU
rnacentral:lncRNA from 1 species